UUUCCGGUUGAUCCCGCCGGACCUGACUGCUAUCGGAUUGAUACUAAGCCAUGCGAGUCUUUGCAGUAAUGCAAGGCAUACGGCUCAGUAACACGUAGUCAACUUACCCUAUGGACGAGGAUAAUCUCGGGAAACUGAGCAUAAUACUCGAUAGAUCAUAAUGCCUGGAAUGGUUUAUGGUUAAAAUGAUCCGUCGCCAUAGGAUGGGACUGCGGCCUAUCAGCUUGUUGGUGAGGUAAUGGCCCACCAAGGCGAUUACAGGUACGGGCUCUGAGAGGAGAAGCCCGGAGAUGGGUACUGAGACAAGGACCCAGGCCCUAUGGGGCGCAGCAGGCGAGAAAACUUUGCAAUGUGCGAAAGCACGACAAGGUUAAUCCGAGUGAUUUCUGCUAAAGAAAUCUUUUGCAAGUCAUAAAACCACUAGUGAAUAAGGGGUGGGCAAGUUCUGGUGUCAGCCGCCGCGGUAAAACCAGCACCUCAAGUGGUCAGGAGGAUUAUUGGGCCUAAAGCAUCCGUAGCCGGCUCUGUAAGUUUCCGGUUAAAUUCAUGUGCUCAACGCAUGGGCUGCCGAAAAUACUGCAUAGCUAGGGAGUGGGAGAGGUAGACGGUACUCAGUAGGAAGGGGUAAAAUCCUUUGAUCUAUUGAUGACCACCUGUGGCGAAGGCGGUCUACCAGAACACGUUCGACGGUGAGGGAUGAAAGCUGGGGGAGCAAACCGGAUUAGAUACCCGGGUAGUCCCAGCUGUAAACGAUGCAGACUCGAUGAUGCAUUGGCAUAUAGCCAGUGCAGUGUCGCAGGGAAGCCGUUAAGUCUGCCGCCUGGGAAGUACGUACGCAAGUAUGAAACUUAAAGGAAUUGGCGGGGGAGCACCACAAGGGGUGAAGCCUGCGGUUCAAUUGGAGUCAACGCCGGGA
rnacentral:rRNA from 1 species